AUGUGGUGUUUUCUUCAAUAUGUAACUCCGUUGCAUAUUGAGCUCCACUUAAUUUGUAGGAUUGCUUGUGCACUUUGCCAUGCCAUGCAUAUUAAACCGGACAUGCACAUACUUGGUUGUGCAUUGUGCCAUGCUUAUGUGGUGGUUGUUUACUAUGUUGUUUGCUUCUUUCCGGUGUUGCUUCUUUGGGUUAUUUCCGAUAACGUCGCGUUUGUGAGGAUCCGUUCGACUACGUCCGUUUGCCUUCUUCAUGGACUCGUUCUUCUUCCUUGCGGGAUUUCAGGUGCCGAUGUUACCGAGCAGGUGACGAAACCAAGCUCAAGGAGGAGCUCGAUGAAGAUCUUGUCCUUGGUGUUGUUUCGUUCUAGUUGA
rnacentral:rRNA from 1 species